rnacentral:misc_RNA from 1 species
AGAUUUGAAUUUCCCUUUUUUUUUAUUUUAUUUCGUUGCUUCUUUUAAUUAGUGAAAAACUUAGGUUCCUUUCUUGGCAUUUGAGUGAGGUGUAAAAUAAGAUUGCGGGAUAUAUACUCAGGAAGAUUGGUUCCCAUAGAUGUGUUGUGCAUCUUCAGCGAGGCACGCCAAUGGUAUUACACUUAAAAAUUGGGGUAUUAGAUUUUUAUAUAUAUAUUUUUUUCUUUUUGAGUAAUGCCUGGAGAAGGUGCUGGUUGGUGUCCGUAUAUUUUCUUCUUUAUUUGGGAUUUGUCUGUCUACCAAGAUUGUAUGCAAGGUUCUGUUUGAUCUAUCAGUGUGAAACAUUAUAAGGGAUUCUCUUCAUGUUCCCCUGCAAAUAAGUUACAGAUAUUCUGAUUCAUUUUUUAUUCUGACAGUGUAUUACAAUUAACUAGAUGAAUGUUAAGACUUCAUUCGCGAUUGUUGUUGGCGAUAUUUGGAUUAGCUUGUUUCUUGUUGCUGCUGUUAAUGCCUGGAUUUUGUGACAAUAUGCUUAUGAGCAAUAUCUGCAUCCUAAUGUACUUUACCUAUGAUGAAGUUAAGCUGUACGGUCACGAACCCCAACUGGCUUCAGUAUUGGAUCUUUUUUCUUUGCCAGUGAUUGCAUGAAUAUAAUGAUGCAUUUAAAGC